GCGGACGUAGCCAAGUGGUCCAAAGGCAGUGGAUUGUGAAUCCACCAUGCGCG
rnacentral:tRNA from 1 species